GCAAACUUGGUCAUUUAGAGGAAGUGCAAGUCGUAACAAGGUUUCCGUAGGUGAACCUGCGGAAGGAUCAUUAGCAGCAGUGUGUAGUGUUUGGGUGAUGAGAGGGGGUGGCGGUUGCUGGUUGUGUGGUGGUGAUGUGUGUGUGUAGUGUGUACAUUACAUUACGUAUGUGUAUGUAUGCAUAUAUAUGUUGUAUCAACUGCCUGCCUGUGCCGUUCAUCUUUAUCACCAUCUUACACUUAUUAGUGCUUGGGGGUGGGGCAUGUGCUUUGCAUGUGUCUCUGCCACCAUUGCAUAGUCUCUUAUAUCUUGUAUAUUGUUGUAACACGUGUGAGUGUAUGUAUGUAUGUGUGUGUGUGUGAUGAUACGAUACAUCAUCAUCAUAUCAUCCAUUCCAUUCAUCAUAUGCACACCCACAUCAACCAUAAAAUAUAUUAUAUCACUUUUAACAAUGGAUCUCUGGGCUCCUGCAUCGAUGAAGAACGCAGC
rnacentral:misc_RNA from 1 species